CAGAAUAUCAAGGUGGCGCCACUAGUGAGUGCAGUAAUGGCGGGAUACCUUAACUUGAUUUGUGUUUCUUAAAAUAUCGAUUAGAGAAAUUCAACGAAACAAAAGAAACUUGAAGAAAUAUUUAAACUCGUCCAUUAAAUCGAUUUUACAACAACGAUAUAUUGUUUCUACCAGAAAAAUGUUGGAAAAUAUCGUGGAAUGUUAUUGUACGUUAUUUAUAAAAGUAUCCUCUGGAAUAAGAAGAGAAAUAAAAGCACACCAAAGUUUGGCCAAAAGAAGAGUUGUUGAGAAGAGAGAAGUGGGGGAUGGAAAGGAGGGCGCAGGCGCUAUGUACGAC